AGGCCAGGAAGGGGCGCUGGGGGGUUGUGCUGUGCAGUGUCCCCUGGCACAGCUCGGCCAGUUCCUGCGGCUUCCCGGGAGAUUCAUCUGGAGGACUAAGAAAGUGGAGCCAGUAACAUUAUAUUGACUCCACUGAUACUAUCCUCCUAAAUUAAAUGGUGGAAGAACAAGGCCUGCCUGAGAGAUAAAGUCAGGACCUACUUCAUCUGCCUACAAGAUUUUAAUGGCAAUUAGAGGGAACAAGUUAAAAGGUGUUUCUGCAGAGAACGGUGGGUGUGUUUGGUUUGAAUUGAACACACUAAACCAUGUUUCAGUGCUGUUGUGUUGCCUGUUGCGUUUGUGCUUUUGACGUUCUCACCUGUGUUUUUGCCGGCAGGCCUGCGGGUCCCUUUGUUCCUGCUCCAGGACUGGGUGAGCGGAGGCGCUGGACGUGCUGAAGGGUUAUGGUAACCAGUUUGGAAACUCUGAUUGUUGUGUAAACCUGUCUGAUAACUGGUGCAGCUUCGUGAAAGGGCUUUGUGUGAUGCCCUCCAGUGGCAACAGCCUGCAGUGAUAGUUUAAACGAAGAGCGGACAGGAAUUGGAAGAUGUGAUCCCUUUUGCCUACCCCGGGGGGGUUUGAGGGUGACUCACUGAGCCCGAGGGUAAUUGGGCAGCCCUGGAGUUGCUGCUGGGUGAGCUGUGGUUUGGGGUGUCGCAUCCUUGGGCAGUUCCUGCAAGCUCUGCAGGGGUGCACAGAUCACCGCUGCACAUCGGGGCAGCCUGGGGGUUCAGGUGGCCAACACCAGAACUUCAGGCGUGAGCUCCUGUCCUUCACAGAAGGUGAAUUUUGCUGUGUGCCAGUAAAUGCACAUAGUGCAAAGGAACAGAGAGGACGAAAAAUGCCAACAGGUGCCAGGAAAAAUGCAUCUCGAAGCGCUGGUUUUUAAAUGACUGUUGUCCCUUCACGUGGGCUAGUUCAGCAGUGAGGCAGAGUUCCUGUAGAUAGACCAGAGAUGAGAACUGGUUUUGCUUCAUCUGAGACACCUUUCAAUGCAAAGAAAUUGCUCUCAGAUCAACAGCUCAGCACAGUUCUCCAACGUCCCCUGGAUGUUACAUCCAGGAUUCCAGAUGUUAGUCUAACUAGACUAACACGUGGUGUUAGUCUGCUCUGGGGUACCAUACCAUGCUGGACCUGUUAGUGCACUUUAGCUUCGGUAGGAGACUCCUCUUUUGCUGUCAAAUACAGCUUCCAGUUCUGUGUGGGGUUUGGCCCUCACUCACAGCUGUACAGAUGUACCGCGCUUCCUCCUGUCCGCUGGACUUACACAGAAAGAUGAGGUUGAUACGUCUGCCCUGGGUGCUGUGCUGGUCUGAUCAACAGGCCCUGUAGUGGACGUGGUGACCUCCCUGUAAAGUUUUUAUAUAAAGAUAGUGCCUGGUAAUGACCACCGAGUCAUAUUCUGUUGAACAGGCUGCUCCAUACUCAGCCACCAGGCCUGCGCUCCCCAAGAGAUUCAUCGAGCUGGCAGCAGAGUGACGGAGCUGUGUGGUGCCUGGACAGUCCCACCCCAGUGCUGAGAACAUCAUGUUUGGCUCAGAAGGUCUGUCCUUGCAGCAGUCCUGCGAGAGCGUUGUGAAGUCCCUGGAGCUCACCAGUUGAAAAAUACUUUGGAUUGAGUUCUUGUAUCAUCUGAAGUGAAUCCUGGCACCAGGAUACAGAUAUAUCCAUUUAAAAGAAGAGCGUGGCUCUCUGUUUUUGCAAGACAAAGGUAAAACUUGUUCCAGUGGGUGGAAGUUGGAUCCUGCUGCAAGUCACGCAUUUUGAAGCGAAGAAUGGUGCUUCCUCAGCCCUUCAUUCCCUGGCAUUCCCUGUACGCUUCAGCUGCUGUUCUCUGGUAUGGCCUGGCCAGCGUCAGCAGGGCUCACGUGGCCACCUCGUGGCCUCUGCAGUGGCGGUGGCUGAGUCACCUGCUGCAGGGGGACACGGGUUGUGCUCACUGCAAGACAGCGACUGGCUGUCCGACAGAGUGACCGUCACCACCCUUUCUGCCCUGGAAAUCCCUGAAUUCCUGGUAGACGGAGAGAUCACCCUGUACAUACAUAGCUCAGUGUCACAAAACCCAUCUUCUUUUGGGUAUUGCAAAAGAAAUAGGUAUCCAAGAGAAGACGGUACUAAUUGCUGCUAUAAUUACAUACUCAGCUUCUGUUGUCAUGAUUUCUGCAAAGUCUGUUUCAUGGAAACUUUUUCAAAGCUAUUUGGGGAAGAACAGGAAGCUUUUGGCACACAGUUCUACAUCAAAUCUCUUCAGUUUUGCCAGGCUGUGUUUGUAGAGACCCUGUAUAUUGUAGAGGCCACCACCUGUCCCUGACUGUCCCCUAGAAUGGAAACUUGAAACAGUUAUUUUUGUAAUGAAU
rnacentral:lncRNA from 1 species